ensembl:lncRNA
GUGGGAGAAUGGAGAGCUGCAAAGGCUAACGCCCCGGGGCCAUGUUUUUAUUCACACAGGAGACGGCUGUGGCAGUGGAGGAGAAUCCAUGUCGCCUGGUUCCAUGGUUGGAAGCCAUGAUAGAGAUAUGAUGACCUUGCAUCACAAUGUCCAUUCCACAAAGGUAGUAGUAGCUAGCCUGCAGCGGUGGACCAGUGCCAGGAAUGGCCCUCCAAGGACCUGAGCCCUAGGACCAUGCCUCAGGUCUAACUGGCAUGAUGACUCCUUGCUGUCCCUGUUCUGCCAGCGGCUAUGGAACCCUGAACUGUUCACUGGACGUGCUACCUGUCCCAGACCUGCUGUUUUCAACUCUCUAGAGACAGCAGAGCGGUAGAGAUACUCUCAAUGAUCGGCUAUGAAAAGCCAACUGACAUUUACUCCUGAGGUGCUGACUUGUUGCACCCUCGACAACUACUGUGAUUAUUAUUAUUAUUUGACCAUGCUGGUCAUUUAUGAACAUUUGAACAUCUUGGCCAUGUUCUGUUAUCAUCUCCACCCAGCACAGCCAGAAGAGGACUGGCCACCCCUCAUAGCCUGGUUCCUCUUUAGGUUUCUUCAUAGGUUUUUGCCUUUCUAGGGAGUUUUUCCUAGCCACCGUGCUUCUACACUUGCGUUGCUUGCUGUUUGGGGUUUUAGGCUGGGUUUCUGUACAGCACUUUGAGAUAUCAGCUGAUGUAAGAAGGGCUAUACAGUAUAAAUACAUUUGAUUUGAUACAUGUUUUGGAAUACUUUAAUUCUGUACAGGAUUCCUUCUUUUCACUCUGUCAUUGAGGUUAGUAUUGUAUAGUAACUACAAUGUUGUUGAUCCAUCUUCAGUUUUCUCUCCAAUCACAGCCAUUCAACUCUGUAAACUGUUUUAAAGUCACCAUUGGCCUCAUGGUAAAAUCCCUGAGCGGUCUCCUUCCUCUCCUGCAAACCGUAUCUUUGUAGUGACUGGCUGUAUUGAUACCUCAUCCAAAGUGUAAUGAAUAACUUCACCACACUCAAAGGGAUAUUCAAUGUCUGUUUUUAUUUUAUUUUUGCCCAUCUACCAAUAGGUGCCCUUCUUUGUGGUUGAAUCUGUGUUUGAAGUUCAAUGCUCGACUGAGGAACCUUACAGAUAAUUGUAUGUGUGGGGUACAGAGAUGAGGUAGUCAUUAAAAAAUC